rnacentral:lncRNA from 1 species
GAGAGGAAUCACAAAAAUCCCUGAAAGAAUUCCAGGAAAAGACAAUCAAACAGUUGAACGAAUUAAAAAUGGAAAGAGAAGCAAUGAAGAAAGAACACAGGGAAACAACCCUGCAUAUAGAAAACCAAAGGAAGAGACAAGGAGCCAUAGAUACAAGCAUCACCAAAAGAAUACAAGAGAUAGAAGAGAGAAUCUCAGAAGCAGAAUAUUCCAUAGAAAUCAUCGACACAAGUGUCAAAGAUAAUGUAAAACAGAAAAAGCUACUGGUCCAAAACAUACAGGAAAUCCAGGACUCAAUGAGAAGAUCAAACCUAAGCAUAAUAGGUAUAGAAGAGAGUGAAGACUCCCAGGUCAAAGAACCAGUAAGUAUCUUCAACAUAAUCAUAGAAGAAAACUUCCCUAACCUAAAGAAAGAGAUGCCCAUAAACAUACAAGAAACAUACAGAACUCCAAAUAGAUUGGACCAGAAAAGAACUCCAGUCCAUAAUACUCAAAACAGCAAAUGCACAAAAUAAAGAAAGAAUAUUAAAAGCAGUAAGGGAAAAAGGUCAAGUAACAAAUAAAGGCAGACCUAUAAGAAUCACACCAGACAGGUUGGGGAUUUAGCUCAGUGGUAGAGCGCAUACCUAGGAAGCGCAAGGCCCUGGGUUCGGUCCCCAGCUCCGAAGAAAAAAGAAAAAAAAAAAAA